UCACCGGGUGAAAAUUCGGCUCG
rnacentral:miRNA from 1 species